rnacentral:rRNA from 1 species
GACGAACGCUGGCGGCGUGCUUAACACAUGCAAGUCGAACGGAAAGGCCCUGCUUUUGUGGGGUGCUCGAGUGGCGAACGGGUGAGUAACACGUGAGUAACCUGCCCUUGACUUUGGGAUAACUUCAGGAAACUGGGGCUAAUACCGGAUAGGAUCUCCUGCUGCAUGGUGGGGGUUGGAAAGUUUCGGCGGUUGGGGAUGGACUCGCGGCUUAUCAGCUUGUUGGUGGGGUAGUGGCUUACCAAGGCUUUGACGGGUAGCCGGCCUGAGAGGGUGACCGGCCACAGUGGGACUGAGAUACGGCCCAGACUCCUACGGGAGGCAGCAGUGGGGAAUAUUGCACAAUGGGCGGAAGCCUGAUGCAGCAACGCCGCGUGCGGGAUGACGGCCUUCGGGUUGUAAACCGCUUUCGCCUGUGACGAAGCGUGAGUGACGGUAAUGGGUAAAGAAGCACCGGCUAACUACGUG